AGUUGUCUGGGUUAUUGGUGAUUUAGUUACAAUCUUGUACCGAUACUACUUAGAAAAAGGAGCCUUGGUGUUUUGACUAGAGAGCAAGCUUUGAUACUUUAGCAUUGACAAAGAAGCCCAACGUUGAAACUAUAGGGAUCAAGAAUAUUGGACUAAAAACGGUAAUCUGGACAACUA
rnacentral:other from 1 species